CGACGCAUGCUGAUAGACCGAAGUCGGCCAAUACGAUACAUGAAUAUGAAGAGCAUCAUGCAACUUCCUUCGAAGAAAUAAUGCCGCAUUGCAGGUGCAGCCGUCAUAAGGAAGAACGUGGACCACAUGAUUGGAAGACAACGAACUUGCAAUACCGCUCAGUAUGAGUACGCACGAGAAACAAAGCAAAACUCCAAACGAGAGAGCGAUAGAUCUUCAGAAAGAGACUUACUUGAAUGAAUCGCUGAUACUGAUGGGGUACCUGCUGGCGAUGUUCGUGUUCGCCUUAUCUUUAUAUCAGUGCAAACGUCGCCGAGACGAGCGCCGACAAGAGCCUUCUUACCUGGACAGCGACGGAUGAUCCCCAAGGAACAGUGUGUGAUGGUGUCACCAGCCGCUACCAGGGAGACGGCGUUGUCACACACAACGAGGCGGUGAACAGAUCAGCGGCUGGCACCGUUGGACUAUCUGUCUCCUCCGAAGCUCAUUUGAUGGUAACAAUUGCUGGUGUACCUAGUGAACAGUGAUUGCCUGCAUUUUAGGUGACUGGAUUUGCUAUCUGUUCACCUAUUUGCGGCACGAUGUGCUGCUCUGUGCGUAAAAAACGCCAUGUCAUUAACAUCAAGGGAUAGCGCGAACGAGUCUUAUUAAAAAAGUUAGCCACUGCUGUCUGUGAUGGGCUGUGGUAGCCCAUUCUGUGCAUGAAACAUGAAAACUGUG